rnacentral:rRNA from 1 species
GACGAACGCUGGCGGCGUGCUUAACACAUGCAAGUCGAGCGGAGCGGCGAACGGGUGAGUAACGCGUGAGUAACUGCCCCCCUCUCUGGGCUAAACGUUGGAAACGGCUGCUAAUACCGGAUAGUGGGGGAUGCCUCGCGUCCUAUCAGCUUGUGGCGUUGGUAGGGGCCUACCAAGGCGACGACGGGUAGCCGGCCGGAGAGGGCGACCGGACACAUUGGUCUGAGAUACGUCCCAAACUCCUACGGGAGGCAGCAGUGGGGAAGAUUGCACAAUGGGGGAAACCCUGAUGCAGCAACGCGCGUGCGGGAUGACGGCCUUCGGGUUGUAAACCGCUUUCAGCCAUGACGCGGUAGUGGCAGAAGAAGCACCGGCUAACUACGUGCCAGCAGCCGCGGUAAUAC